AUGAAGAACGUAGCGAAAUGCGAUACUUGGUGUGAAUUGCAGAAUCCCGCGAACCAUCGAGUUUUUGAACGCAAGUUGCGCCCGAGGCCACCCGGCCGAGGGCACGCCUGCCUGGGCGUCACGCCUCGCGUCGCUCCGCCUACCUCGCCCUGAGCACCCCGUGCUCAUACGGCGGCGGGCGGCGG
rnacentral:rRNA from 1 species